rnacentral:rRNA from 1 species
GAUGAACGCUGGCGGCGUGCCUAAUACAUGCAAGUCGAGCGAACAGACGAGGAGCUUGCUCCUCUGACGUUAGCGGCGGACGGGUGAGUAACACGUGGAUAACCUACCUAUAAGACUGGGAUAACUUCGGGAAACCGGAGCUAAUACCGGAUAAUAUAUUGAACCGCAUGGUUCAAUAGUGAAAGACGGUUUUGCUGUCGCUUAUAGAUGGAUCCGCGCCGCAUUAGCUAGUUGGUAAGGUAACGGCUUACCAAGGCAACGAUGCGUAGCCGACCUGAGAGGGUGAUCGGCCACACUGGAACUGAGACACGGUCCAGACUCCUACGGGAGGCAGCAGUAGGGAAUCUUCCGCAAUGGGCGAAAGCCUGACGGAGCAACGCCGCGUGAGUGAUGAAGGUCUUCGGAUCGUAAAACUCUGUUAUUAGGGAAGAACAAAUGUGUAGGUAACUAUGCACGUCUUGACGGUACCUAAUCAGAAAGCCACGGCUAACUACGUG